GACGGUACCUGAAGAAUAAGCACCGGCUAACUCCGUGCCAGCAGCCGCGGUAAUACGGAGGGUGCAAGCGUUAAUCGGAAUUACUGGGCGUAAAGCGUGCGCAGGCGGCUGAUUAAGUCGGAUGUGAAAGCCCCGGGCUCAACCUGGGAAUUGCAUUCGAUACUGGUCAGCUAGAGUCUGGUAGAGGUAAGCGGAAUUCCGGGUGUAGCGGUGAAAUGCGUAGAUAUCCGGAGGAACAUCAGUGGCGAAGGCGGCUUACUGGACCAAGACUGACGCUCAGGCACGAAAGCGUGGGUAGCAAACAGGAUUAGAUACCCUGGUAGUCCACGCCCUAAACGAUGUCAACUAGCCGUUGG
rnacentral:rRNA from 1 species